rnacentral:lncRNA from 1 species
AUGGGCCACAGGGCUAGCCUGCCCUGCCCUUCUGCCUGGCCAAAAGGAGGUCAACACCAUCGGUCCUACGGUGGGGGAUGCCAGUGCCAGGUAAGAGAGCUGGCGUGCAGCCCUCACUGCCAUGGUGGUAUCCUCAGCAACCGCCGAUGCACAUCUGGCCAGCUGCUGCCUGGAGGAGAAAGGUCACCGUCUCUGCAGGUCCCUGGUGCCGGGCGUGCCCAUGGCCUCCUGCCCACAUGGCCCUGGGGGUGCUCAGCCUGCUCUGCAGCCAUCAUUGAGAGCCGCCCUUGUGACCCUGGAAGGACCAAUCCAAAGCCUGGUCUAACCCAACCAGAUGUCUGAGCUGCAGAAUUCAAGUGAAGACACACACAGUCUGUAAUCGGAUGAUGUUGGGUGCUGGAAAUCAAAGGCAUAUCAGAUACGUUGGAAUGAAAGCCAUGCGGGCCUGGGGCAGCCAUUUCCAGCGUGUGUGCUCUCAUAAGUCAGCAGGGGAAGUCCGUCUGUGAAGACAAGCGAGAGAUCAAAGCUGGCACAGAGAUGAGAGACCCGAGGCUGUGCCAGGAGCAGAGGGGUAAGCCGGGCCGUGGGGUCUGCGGUGUCUGACUUCCCGUGACCCUGCUUGCCUACCUCUUGUCCUGGGCGGCUCUCACGCCUGCCCGUUGUGCUUCUGAACAGGCUCUUGUUUUUCUUAAGCUGAGUUUCUGUUCUUCACAAGCAAAGAUGCCCUGACUCGAAAGUCCCCUGCUGGAGACAUUCAGACGGGAACCGCAGUCUCCUUCAUUGUCCAGUGCCCGGGAACUGGGAAGAUCACGGUGCUCUUUCAUGCCGCUGAGUGCAGUUCACAAGAGAGACUCUGCCAGGGGAAAAAGGUGGCAUUCUUUAAAUGUUCAAACCUCUCACCCUCACCUUCAAAGCCUGCUGCACUCAUCCUCUGCCUCUCGCUCUAAUGACUGCCCCUGCUCUCCAACACUGGCCAUCUCCUGACAUCAGUUGCUUUAUUCUUCUCUCCUGGGGAGAGAUGAAAGUUGACUGACUGCACGCUUUGCUAUUUUUCUCAUGGAGAGAUGGAGUCUAAUUCCCGAUCCCUUGACUAAGGCCUGACCUUUGUGACCUGCCUGACCACGAGAGUAUGGCAGAGGAGAUGUUUGGGUCUUUCAAGGUUGGGUCAUAGGAAGCCUUGUAACUUCUGCCUGUGCCCUGGGAAAUGUUCUCACAGAACCCCAAGCUACCCUUUAAGAAAUCCUGCUGCCAUAAGGCUGCUAUGUUGUGAUAGGCCCAAGACAUGAUGGGGCAGAUGACAAAGACACAAACACACUCACAUGCAUGCACGCACACACACACCACACACACACACAGGCAGGCCACACACAGUGUUCAAGCACCAAAUGUACGAGUGGAGAAGUCAUUUUGGAAAUGGACUAUCUAUUCCCAGAUAAUGCCAUGGAGAGGUGAGAUAACCACCCAGCUGAGCCCUUCCUGAAUUACUGGGGCACAAAAACUGUGAGCAAAAUAAAGUUUUGAAGUAGCUUGGUACA